rnacentral:rRNA from 1 species
CCCUUAGAUGUUCUGGGCCGCACGCGUGCUACACUGAGUGGAUCAGCGGGUCAGGUUGCGCGAAAGCGUUUCCUAAUCUUUAAAUCCGCUCGUGAUGGGGAUUGACGGUUGCAAUUUUCUGUCAUGAACGAGGAAUACCUUGUAAGCGCGGGUCAUCAUCCCGCGCUGAAUACGUCCCUGCCCUUUGUACACACCGCCCGUCGCUCCUACCGAUUGAGUGGUCCGGUGAAGCCUCGGGAUUGUGGUUCUUGCCGCUUUAUUGUGGCGUGACCGCGAGAACUUGUCUAAACCUUAUCAUCUAGAGGAAGGUGAAGUCGUAACA